rnacentral:lncRNA from 1 species
GUUGCAUUAAAUACUCCAGCACGUUUAGGUGGUGGGCCAUAGCAAGCUAUCUGAUUUAGCUUCUGAGAUGGUGGCUCUCUGUCGAGCUGGACAUGCAAAAACCCGCCAAGUACUGACCUGUAAAGCAAUCAAAACUUGUGUACUAUCCAUGGUACUAUCUCUGCUGAUCACCUCUGCCAAUUAUGUUAUCCAUACUUACGGUAGUAGAAAGCUGGUUCCAGCUCGAGAGAGAGAUCUCCGUCCGACAAACUGCUGUCAGGGUCUAUUCAGCUCUCCUGUGUCCUGCUCCCAGAGAUCAAACAAGUGUUAUUCGCCAAGCAUGAGCUGAUUCCCUCCCCUGUGAGGAGAACCAUCCUACUGCAGUUUGGACUAGCCCUGCUUUCUCUAUUUAGACAUUGGGACCACAUGCUGUAUGUCUUUGCCUGUUGUCUUUCUUUGUGGGUUUUGGAUUUUGUCUUAUACAGUAUAGUGCAUUUUAGUGUUGAAAAACACCUACUACAGAUACACGUGCUUGUUUGAGCAUCUUUAUUCAUUAUUGUCUCUCACUUUUGUCUCCCAUUAUCUAUUCACCAAGAAGUCCUGCAGUUUGAAUCAGCCCUGACAUCACUAUUUAGACAUUGAGACCACAUGUGCAUUUGUCUGUUGUCUUGUCUUUGUGAGUUUUGUCUCACACAAUCUAGUGCAUUUUAGAGUCGAUUAACACCAACUGCAGAUAUACGUGCUUGUUUGAGCAGCUUGAAGACUAAAUUCAAUGUAUAAUCAGUUUACAAGUGACCAACAUAUGAUUUUACUAUUGUAACAUUCUAUUGUCCCCGUCAGAAGCCCGGGCUUUUGCCAUAGACGGUAGAGUUCUCGUCUCUGGACCACAACAAGCUUUAGAAUGCAUUCUGAUAAGGCACUUGUCUCUCUACAUCGGUCAGCUACAUUGUUGACCAGGAUGGGAACCUUUCGAUAUGCCUAUGAGGGGCUUGGCACACAAAUGGGGGAAUACUGAAGCAUGUGUUGAUGAUAGUUCUACUGUCUACAUCACAGGCCCAGGCUUUUGGCAUAGACUGUAAAAGCUCAAAUUUAUGAACUGCAACAUUGUAAGAUUGUUCCCUCCACGGAACUUGAUAUACCUUGAUUUGUAGGCUACACUAUAUUUAGAUACUUCAAAUACUGCCUGAGACACUUGUUGAAAAAAAAAAGACUGCCUGAGAUAGACACCUUUGCUAUGUGUUGCCGUACUCAACAAAUGGUGAAACGCUGUUAGAGAUUGUGUUCUUUUCUCAAAUACAUAUGCAUGGAUUGUACAAUAUGCAAAACAUGCUAAGCCAAUCUUUGUAUUCAGUCUUUUAGUAUACUAUAAAUAUGCUGUCAUCACACUUCAAUGCACUUAUUAACAGUGACCUUUAAAUUCAUCGUUUUUUCGGUCUUUUAUUAUACUAUAAAUAUACUAUAAUCAACCUUCAACACACGUAAUAGCAGUGUGCUUUAAAAUAACGUUUUUUUCAGUCUUUUAGUAUACUAUAGAUAUGCGAUCAACAUUCAACACAUUUAUUAAAAGUGUACUUUAAUGUGUAUAGUUUUUCAGUAUUUUAGUAUACUAUACAUAUACUAUCAUCAACAUUUAACACACUUGUUAAAAGUGUACUUAAAUUAAUUGUUUUUCAGUCUUUUAGUAUACUAAAAAUAUACUAUCAUCACCCUUCAAUACAUUUAUUAAAAGUGUACUUUAAAUGAAUUGUUUUCCUGUCUAAGUAUCCUUAUGUUCAUUGUCAUUAAACUUAAACACACAUUAAAAUUAUUCUUCAAUUUC